UUUUUGGUGACUACUGAUGUGAUGCACGUUUUAUAAUCGAAGUGAGUUGCCGCCUUUUCUCUUCUUCUGACUUGGCUUUUCUUACUGGAAAGGCAACAUUCCUGCCUAUCCCAUCUACGCCAGUCGACCGAUUUGCAUAUGUUAGUGAAUCAUUUGGCGGGAGAGCAAAAACGCCGCCAAAUCUACUACU
ensembl:ncRNA C25A11.6 ncRNA